GGCAGCUGCUUUUCUGGCAGGGGCAUGGGUGCCAGGUACAGCGCAGAGCUGGGCCGAGCAUGCCGAGAGCCUGGGGGACCCGACGCCGGCCGGGAUUACGCCUCUCUCUCUGUGUAUAUAUAUAAAAAUGAGUCCCUCUGUACAUGUAUUUAACCGUGGGUACACGUGCGUGUGUCUGUGCGUGUGUCCGUGCGUGUGUACGUGUGGUCUGCAUGUGUAUGUGUGGCGCGGGCAGAGCGAGUGCGCGCCCAGGAGGCAGUGGGAGCCUUGUCUGUCUCGUGACUUCGUACCUCUCAAGCCCCUCUUUGUACUACACUGAACGCUGGCACUUUGGCACUUUGGCGGAGUUGGAAACAAAGCCAGACAUUAAAGAUCAUUUCUCCUGUGCGGCUAACCUGAAAAAAAUCCAGACCGCAGAAUUUUCUGGAUAAGAUAUGGAUCCAUGUGGCCAAGCAACACACCUGGGCACAAGAUCCCUCCUAAGCUCUUCCAACUGACGGCUGCCUGGGAAAGAAACACUGAGGAAAGUCACACAGAGAUGACUCGCCCCUGUUUAAGAUCUGAUUAACUAAGCCUGAUAGCC